rnacentral:rRNA from 1 species
UACGAAGGGGGCUAGCGUUGCUCGGAAUUACUGGGCGUAAAGGGCGCGUAGGCGGACAGUUUAGUCAGAGGUGAAAGCCCAGGGCUCAACCUUGGAAUUGCCUUUGAUACUGGCUGUCUUGAGUUCGGGAGAGGUGAGUGGAAUGCCGAGUGUAGAGUUGAAAUUCGUAGAUAUUCGGCGGAACACCAGUGGCGAAGGCGACUCACUGGCCCGAUACUGACGCUGAGGCGCGAAAGCGUGGGGAGCAAACAGG